AUAGUAGCCAGCGAUGAACUCGCACAAUAACGGGUAGGAUUCUGUUACCGCGGCUGCAUAAAUAACACCGCAUCGCACCAUUUGUGGAUAUACGGAAAGCAUGAUUUCGUCUGUUCUUCUACUGAGUGGAUAUCACAAGAAACACUGUUUUACCGACAAUCACUAUUGUGUUGUGACGUGCAUGUAAGAGCACAUGCAUUUUCACGCCGAAUUCAAUAGCUUCACGCCAGACACUACGCGUUCCACCUAGUGAGAAAGUUUGCAAUCAUGUUUAGCACGCCAAUAGUGACAACCGUUCGAAACUUCGCCCAACGCGACAGUCAUCAUCAUCAUCCUCAUCCCCACUCACAACAUCAUCAUCAUGGUCCCCGACAUGGUAUCUUUAGUGGCGCGAAUAGUCCCAGCACGAGCCCCCGCAGUAAAAACAGUCCUAUCUCACCGAGGGAAGAGAAAGUUGAGAAGGGGGAUUACAGUAUGGGAGACCCUCCUUCCUGGGUGCGCUCGCUAACGCCCGUCCGCGGCACCGUCACUCCCGUCAGCGACGCCGACCUGGAUAGCGGGAUCAUUCCAGCCGGAGCCAGGGCUACACGGCCGUCGACCGCUGCCAGCCGCUGCACUACGAGAGAUAACAGUAACGACGAUGCUUGGGGGGAUGGAAGUGCCAGGGCAGGUGAGCCUGCCAAGCCUUGCUUAUCACAGCUAACAGUAAAGAUUCUGAUUGGCGUGCUGAUUGUGGUGAGCAUCGCUGUGUCGUGGACAGGCACGGCUCAGUUUGCAGCGAGCAGCUUUGACGAGACGUUCGACGGUGCUUACUUCUUCAUCUGGUUCUCGACAACAUGGAUGGUCGUCUGUUUCCCCGUCUACACCAUCGCCGUCUUCAUCUUCAGCCGGGAUAAGCGCUGCUUGAAGAGUAUAUAUAGGGACUGCAUAUCAGUGUAUGGCGAAGAUCGUUUGACGCCUCUCACUUUCUUCACAAAGUGUGGCUUGUUUUGUAUACUCUGGAUAGCAUCAAAUUACAUGUUUUUGAUGGCGCUCAGGAUCAUUCCCAUCACGGACACGGUGGCCGUGUUUGCGUCAAACGCGGCCUUUGUCUACAUAUUGUCAUGGAUCAUUCUUCACGAGAAGUUUAUAUCUAUACGGAUACUCGCCGUGAUUCUCAUGAUAACGGGUAUAGUGAUGAUGAUGUACGCGGAGGGCUUCGGAGGAUCAACGCCGCGCGGCGUCGCGCUUGCCAUCGGAGCUGCUCUCGGCUCGGCUGUCUAUCAGGUCUGCUUUAAGAAGAUCGUGGGUAAUGCGAGCCUCGGGCAGGUGUCGAUCUUUCUUUCGAUGCUCGGUGUCUUCGACGUGCUCGUCAUGUGGCCGAUCAUGCUGGCGCUCUACCUCACCAAGGUCGAGGUCUACGACUGGCACAACUUACCGUGGAUGUACCUGGGUGGCAGCGCUGCGCUGGGACUAGUAUUCAACUUCCUGGUGAAUUUCGGCAUUGCGUUUACCUACCCGCUUUUUAUUUCGAUCGGCAUCAUGAUGGGUAUUCCCGUUAAUGCAGCGGCCGACAUCAUCUGGCGGGACAAGACGUUCAGCGGCAUGACGAUUGCUGCCGCCGUGCUCAUGUGCGUUGCGUUUCUCGUGCUGCUCGCGCCCGAGGACUGGAACCUGACACUGCAGCGCUGGUUCUGCAGCUGCGGCCGCAAGAAGCGCGCUGCCGCCACCGCUGCUGCUGCCGAACAGUCGCGACCCGACACACGGCAGUCACGCUUCAAGGUCGCCAGUUCAAGCGGCGUGUGAGGGGCGUCAAGGUCGCCAGUACAAGCGGCGUGUGAGGGGCUUCAAGGUCGUUGAUACAAGCGGCGUGUGAGGGGUUUCAAGGUUGCCGAUGUGAUGGGCUUCAAGGUCGUCUGUGCGAUCGAGCUGCAUGUGAGGGGCUUCAAGGUCGCCAGUACAAGCAGCGUGUGAGGGGCUUCAAGGUCGCCAGUACAAGCAGCGUGUGAGGGGCUUCAAGGUCGCCAGUACAAGCAGCGUGUGAGGGGCUUCAAGGUCGUCGCUACAAGCGGCGUGUGAGGGGUUUCAAAGUUGCCGAUGUGAUGGGCUUCAAGGUCAUCUGUGCGAUCGAGCGGCGUGCGAGGGGUUUCAAGGUCGCCGGUGCAAGUGGCGUGCGAGGCUUCAAGAGGUGAAACACAUAGGCAUGGGAGACGGAUACUAGAUACACAGCGUAGUGAAUGGGGGUUAGUAGGUGUGGACUACAUUCAUGUCAAUGUCUCACUAUCAGCGGUCAGUGUAACGGUUGGACACACAGCUUGUGUUCCGCGCCUGGAUAUUUCUAAUGUCUGGUGAUAUAUCUAUUACUGGUAUCUAUAUCUGAUACUAUAUGUGAUGAGGCAAUGUUUAUCAUUAGGGGUAUUUGUUCGUUAAUGCUACUGAAAAUACACAGCUGCUCAUAUGCAUAACAUUCCUGAAUGUUUAUUGUAGUUCAUCAGGAGUCUGGAGUCAUAUCAUUUACAUGUAAUAAAUGUUGAGUCGGUGUGAUCGCUGUGGCCCUGUAUAGUGUGAGCUUGGCUUGAAUGAUUUAUUAUUUCUCAUGCCAUCUGAGUGAGAUACAAAACAGAUGUUUGAUUAUUACAAAGAUCUGCUGAUUGAGAGAUUUGCUCGACGUAUUCAGCUGUGAUCUCGCAUGUAUUGAGAUGCUAGUUUUGUCGGCAGAUUUUUGAUACUGAUAACAAAAUAUAUAUUGCCAUUCUUUUUAUAUUAGGCCAGCACAAUGUUUCUCAGUAGUGGUGAUGAGGGUGAGAGUGGUCGAUAGUGAGGUCCGACAAAUGUUGUCUUUAUGCAUAUCAGUAACAUGUGAAGGAUACUUUAGGAGUCAUAGUAAAUUCUUAGUGCUACUAUGUCAGUGAUUAUUUCUAUUUAAAUACAUUAUAAUCUGUAUUCUAAAUCUAUUCAGCAACUUUUUUGUAAACUAUUAGCCAGCUCGUUAGAAUUGGUAUUUGUUCUGUUAUUCCUGAACUUUGCCAUUGCAUUUUUUUCUGAAUGCUCCCUGUUGGUUGAUAAUUUGCUUAAUUCCUAUUGCUUGGAUAUAAGGCUCUAAUCCCUUGACCACUGUACUCAUAGACUCAGACUUUAUGAAAGUGACUCGACACCCUUAACAAUGUGCAGCUGCUCCUCGACCCAACCGUGGCAAACACUAAUUUUGUGAUAUGUAUAGCAGUACUAAUUAACAGAACUCUUGUACUAGAUUAUGUAGAAACUUAUUAAAAUUAUAGUGUUUCACGUGCAAUUCUUCUUUGAAGCGGUCAGACAGCAAACCAGACAGCAAGCAUUUUGUAUCAUUAUAGUUAUACCCUUCCUGUCGGUGCCUUAACUAUGAUGCUGAUAUAAAGUUAUGAAAUGUGUCGAAUAGAGGGCUUUGUCGAUCCAUUACUUAUAAUAUCAAGUAUGUACAGAGUUCAAUAUGUGUCAAUAUGUGUCAUCAUAACUUACUGCUUUGGCAUAAAUGAAGCAGAGGUAGCAUAUCGUUUAUGGCGUGACCAUGUCAUAGGGUUGAUGGUUGAUACUCUAGCUAUCUAGCAGAACAUCUCACAUUAGGUCAGGAGUGAUUAGGUUAUUACAGUGUAUCAUAGGGGUAUCUUUUGGCACACCAUUGGUUUAACUAACUACAUCUACUACUGACUCUGGUAUUCACCAUUAUUUGGCAUAUAAGCAUAUUUUUUU
rnacentral:misc_RNA from 1 species